GUCCCUUCGGAGACAUCCAAUAAAAUUGGAACGAUACAGAGAAGAUUAGCAUGGCCCCUGCGCAAUGAUGACACGCACAAAUCGAGAAAUGGUCCCUCUUGGU
rnacentral:snRNA from 1 species